GACGAACGCUGGCGGCGUGCUUAACACAUGCAAGUCGAACGGAAAGGCUCCAGCUUGCUGGCGUACUCGAGUGGCGAACGGGUGAGUAACACGUGGGUAAUCUGCCCUGCACUCUGGGAUAAGCCUGGGAAACUGGGUCUAAUACUGGAUAUGACCUUUCUCCUUAUGGGGUUUGGUGGAAAGUUUUUCGGUGUAGGAUGAGCCCGCGGCCUAUCAGCUUGUUGGUGGGGUGAUGGCCUACCAAGGCGACGACGGGUAGCCGGCCUGAGAGGGUGAUCGGCCACAUUGGGACUGAGAUACGGCCCAGACUCCUACGGGAGGCAGCAGUGGAGAAUAUUGCACAAUGGGCGGAAGCCUGAUGCAGCGACGCCGCGUGAGGGAUGACGGCCUUCGGGUUGUAAACCUCUUUCAGCAGGGACGAAGCGUAAGUGACGGUACCUGCAGAAGAAGCACCGGCUAACUAUGUG
rnacentral:rRNA from 1 species